AACGAACGCUGGCGGCAGGCUUAACACAUGCAAGUCGAACGCAUCCAUCGGGGUGAGUGGCAGACGGGUGAGUAACGCGUGGGAACGUGCCCUUCAGUUCGGGAUAACCCAGGGAAACUUGGGCUAAUACCGGAUACGUGCGAGAGCAGAAAGAUUUAUCGCUGAAGGAUCGGCCCGCGUCUGAUUAGCUAGUUGGGGGGGUAAUGGCCCACCAAGGCGACGAUCAGUAGCUGGUCUGAGAGGAUGAUCAGCCACAUUGGGACUGAGACACGGCCCAAACUCCUACGGGAGGCAGCAGUGGGGAAUAUUGGACAAUGGGCGCAAGCCUGAUCCAGCCAUGCCGCGUGAGUGAUGAAGGCCUUAGGGUUGUAAAGCUCUUUCGUCCGGGACGAUAAUGACGGUACCGGAAGAAGAAGCCCCGGCUAACUUCGUGCCAGCCGCCGCGGUAAAAC
rnacentral:rRNA from 1 species